rnacentral:rRNA from 1 species
AACGGCUGGCGGCGUGCCUAAUACAUGCAAGUCGAACGGUCUUUCUAUGGAAGCUUGCUUCCACUGAGAAGAUAGUGGCGAACGGGUGAGUAACACGUGGGUAACCUGCCCAUAAGAGGGGGAUAACAUCCGGAAACGGGUGCUAAUACCGCAUAGUUUUCUUGAUUGCAUGAUUGAGAAAGGAAAGACGGCCUUUGUGCUGUCGCUUAUGGAUGGACCCGCGGCGUAUUAGUUAGUUGGUGAGGUAACGGCUCACCAAGACGAUGAUACGUAGCCGACCUGAGAGGGUGAUCGGCCACAUUGGGACUGAGACACGGCCCAAACUCCUACGGGAGGCAGCAGUAGGGAAUCUUCCGCAAUGGACGAAAGUCUGACGGAGCAACGCCGCGUGAGUGAAAGAAGGUUUUCGGAUCGUAAAACUCUGUUGUCAGAGAAGAACAAGUUGGAGAGUAACUGCUCCAGCCUUGACGGUAUCUGACCAGAAAGCCACGGCUAACUACGUGCCAGCCGCGGC